rnacentral:rRNA from 1 species
AGUGAACGCUGGCGGUAGGCCUAACACAUGCAAGUCGAACGGCAGCACAGUAAGAGCUUGCUCUUACGGGUGGCGAGUGGCGGACGGGUGAGGAAUACAUCGGAAUCUACUUUUUCGUGGGGGGUAACGUAGGGAAACUUACGCUAAUACCGCAUACGACCUACGGGUGAAAGCAGGGGAUCUUCGGACCUUGCGCGAUUGAAUGAGCCGAUGUCGGAUUAGCUAGUUGGCGGGGUAAAGGCCCACCAAGGCGACGAUCCGUAGCUGGUCUGAGAGGAUGAUCAGCCACACUGGAACUGAGACACGGUCCGGACUCCUACGGAAGGCAGCAGUGGGGAAUAUUGGACAAUGGGCGCAAGCCUGAUCCAGCCGUACCGCGUGGGUGAAGAAGACCUUCGGGUUGUAAAGCCCUUUUGUUGGGAAAGAAAAGCAGCAGGUUAAUACCCCGCUGUUCUGACGGUACCCAAAGAAUAAGCACCGGCUAACUUCGUG